UAGGGANUCUUCGGCAAUGGGGGCAACCCUGACCGAGCAACGCCGCGUGAGUGAAGAAGGUUUUCGGAUCGUAAAGCUCUGUUGUAAGUCAAGAACGAGUGUGAGAGUGGAAAGUUCACACUGUGACGGUAGCUUACCAGAAAGGGACGGCUAACUACGUGCCAGCAGCCGCGGUAAUACGUAGGUCCCGAGCGUUGUCCGGAUUUAUUGGGCGUAAAGCGAGCGCAGGCGGUUUGAUAAGUCUGAAGUUAAAGGCUGUGGCUCAACCAUAGUUCGCUUUGGAAACUGUCAAACUUGAGUGCAGAAGGGGAGAGUGGAAUUCCAUGUGUAGCGGUGAAAUGCGUAGAUAUAUGGAGGAACACCGGUGGCGAAAGCGGCUCUCUGGUCUGUAACUGACGCUGAGGCUCGAAAGCGUGGGGAGCGAACAGGAUUAGAUACCCUGGUAGUCCACGCCGUANCGAUGAGUGCUAGGUGUUGGAUCCUUUCCGGGAUUCAGUGCCGCAGCUAACGCAUUAAGCACUCCGCCUGGGGAGUACGACCGCAAGGU
rnacentral:rRNA from 1 species